GACGAACGCUGGCGGCGUGCUUAACACAUGCAAGUCGAACGGUAAGGCCCUUCGGGGUACACGAGUGGCGAACGGGUGAGUAACACGUGGGUGAUCUGCCCUGCCCUUCGGGAUAAGCCUGGGAAACUGGGUCUAAUACCGGAUAGGACCACUGCCUGCAUGGGUGGUGGUGGAAAGCUUUGGCGGUGUGGGAUGGGCCCGCGGCCUAUCAGCUUGUGGGUGGGGUGAUGGCCCACCAAGGCGACGACUGGUAGCCGGCGUGUGAGGGUGACCGGCCACACUGGGACUGAGAUACGGCCCAGACUCCUACGGGGGGCAGCAGUGGGGAAUAUUGCACAAUGGGCGCAAGCCUGAUGCAGCGACGCCGCGUGAGGGAUGACGGCCUUCGGGUUGUAAACCUCUUUCAGCACCGACGAAGCGCAAGUGACGGUAGGUGCAGAAGAAGGACCGGCCAACUACGUGCCAGCCGCCGCCGUAA
rnacentral:rRNA from 1 species